rnacentral:rRNA from 1 species
UACAGAGGUCCCAAGCGUUGUUCGGAUUCACUGGGCGUAAAGGGUGCGUAGGUGGUCGGGUAAGUUUGAUGUGAAAGCUCCGAGCUUAACUCGGAAAUGGCAUUGAAUACUAUUCGGCUAGAGGGUUGGAGGGGGGACUGGAAUUCUCGGUGUAGCAGUGAAAUUCGUAGAUAUUCGCAAGAACACCAGUGGCGAAGGCGGCUCACUGGCCCGGUACUGACGCUGAGGUGCGAAAGCGUGGGGAGCAAACAGG